UUUUGUUUUGAUUCUACCUUCUUAAUUAAAUGUUAAAGACUUUAUAGUGCUAAAAGUUUUAUUUGUGUUAAUAGUUUUGCCUUACAAACAAUGGAAGUUAAUAUAAAUAAUGCAUUUUUUAUUGUUGUUAAAAUAUCUUGGAAAUAUUGUAACAAUAGUCUUGAAAAUGUUACUAUAACAUUUUUGAAGACUUUUGAAUGGUUAAUCAUUGCGCUACUAGAAAAUCCAGUUUUUACCACGCUGUUUCUGACAACCUGCGCUAUUUUCAUUCUAAUAUUAAUAUCUGCAUCGAUAAUAAUUAAUACAGCAGUUUCCUGUCUUCUAGCUGUUAUCAUUGUAUGUGAAGGUAUUAUUGGUUUGGCGUUUAUGUUAUUAUUGGGAAUCAUCUUGAGUUGUUUUACAUUAACUUUGGCAGUUAAACAUGGAAUGCAUAUGUGGUUGAUUAAAUUAUUCAAACUCGAUACUUAACAAAUGCUAUAAAAAUAAAUA